rnacentral:misc_RNA from 1 species
GUAGGUGAACCUGCGGAAGGAUCAUUAACAUGAUAUACCAUUUUAACCCCACUUUUCGUACGAAUGAAUUAUUUCUUUUCUACUAUUUUUUACCCCCUUCUUUUUUUACAAAUCAUCUAGACUGAUAUUAUACACAUAAUCAAUAACGCUAAAACAACUCUUAGCAACGGAUAUCUUGGCUCUC